GAGCAGCAGGUGCCUGAACCACAGAGGCAGAAACAGAGGCAGAGAUGAGAGAAGCUCCCUUAGGCAUGGGUGGAUAUACACAUACAUGUGAACACAGAGCCUGAAGAGACCAGAGGCAAUGGAUUUCCCCUGAAAAUGGAGUUACAAGAGCUUGUGUAUCAUCCAGUGCGGGAGCUGAGAACCAAACUCAUGUCACCUGCAAGAGCAGCAUGAGCUCCUACCCACUGGGCCAUCCUGCUUGUCCCCACAGACCUCAUUUUAACCUGUAACAGUAAAGCUCCUUUUAAGCAGUG